UUCCCUGGGGACAGGAGAGCCCACCUUGCGGGGGGAGGAGGAAGGAGCGACACCUGGCGGAGGGACCGGCCAGUGCAAAAGCCAAGCUCACGCCCCACCCCCUACCCCCCACCCCCGGGCUCUUUCUGCAGCCCCACCCCCCCUACCCUGCCACCCACCCCGGCUCUUUCCGAUUCCCCUUCCCCUCCGCGAGCCCUUCUCAGGCUCUGUGGCCACCACCCCAGCCGCCCCGCCCAGCAGGUACCUGACUUGGGGUAGGUGAUGAUGAAGAUGUCGUCGUCCUGCACAUCAGCGUUCUCUACUAUGCGGAUGCUCUCGGGUGGCUGGUGGCAGGAAUUCGCAGGAGUGACAUCACAUGACUUGUCCUAGGGCACUUGACACAGAAAGUAUGAGGUGGAGGAGGAGAUGCAGGUCUGAAGUGUAUGAAGCCAGAAGCUGGUCUGUGUCACUUUUCUGGAAUGUGUGGAGGGUUUGUCAGCGUUCAAAAUGAGGAGAACCCCCCUCACCAUGGUACAAGCUUCCGGCCCCACAGAAUCGGAUCUGCCCAUCCUGAGCCGCCACGCUGGGCUACUUUCCAUUUGUGCCUCGUUAUAGUACACUGAGGACAACCCACUGAACCGGGGGGCAAAGAAAGUAUGUGUACGUCCUCCAACAGGUGAGCAGGUCACCAGCGGUCCACCCACACCACGGGAUACUACUUGGCCAUGACAAGAAACAGACUGCUGAGACCCACAACCACAUGGAUACCUCUCGAAGGCACGGCGCAGAGCGAAAGGAGCCAGACUCAGGAAGGCACAUCUGUAUAGUCCCAUCCAUAGGACGGCGGCCCCCAUGGACGUCCACACCCCGAUCCCCGGAGCUGUGACUAUGGUACACUGCAGGGAAAAGGGGAUCUUGCAGCUGCGAUUCUGGUCAGGAUUUCGAGACGGGGAGAUUAUCGGAUGGCCCUAAAUUUAAUCAUGAGGGUCCUUCUGAGAAGGAGAGGAGCUGUGAUCACAGAGGUCAGAGAGCAGAGAGUUUGGAAGAUGCGAGUGGGUGGCUGGCUUUGGAGACGGACAAAGGAGCCACGAGCCACGGAAUGCAAGCGGCUUCUAGGAGCUUCUAGAAGCUGGAAAGGCACGGAAGGACCCGAUUCUCCCGAGCGCUUCUGGGAGGAACGGGGCCCUGCUGCCAUGCAGAUCUGAGCCCGUUAACACCGAUUUCGGACUUCUGAGCUCUGCAAGUGUGGGGACAUGGAUUUGUAUGGCCUGAGGCCACUCUCUGUGUGUGUCAUUUGCUGUAGCCACAACAGGGAACAUGACAUUUCGAAACGGCAAAGCUGUGUGGACAGAGACUAGAUCCAGGGCAGUGGGGGUGGGGAGGGGGGCUGACCUCAAAGGGAUGAUGGGAACGGUUCUGAUGGUGGAGAUGGUUACACAAAUCGUACAUGUUCCUAAAAUUCAUAGAACUAUACACUCCACCUUACACAGACACACAAAUCAACUUUAUGAUUUUCUUUAAAAAGCCUCCUUCAGGGGCGCCUGGGUGGCUCAGUCGUUGGGCGUCUGCCUUCAGCUCAGGUCAUGAUCCCGGGGUCCUGGGAUUGAGCCCCACGUCGGGCUCCCUGCUCAGGGGGAAGCCUGCUUCUCCCUCUCCCACUCCCUCUGCUUGUGUUCCCUCUCUCACUGUCAAAAAAUAGAUGAAAUCUUUAAAAAAUAAAAUAAAAUAAAAUAAAAAGCCUCCUUCAUAUAAAUGCUUAAUGUCCAUUAGCCAUUAUUAUAACAAAACAUCCUGUUGGCCUAUGUUACAGGCGUGCCUUGGAUUUGCUGUGUGACCUGAGGUCACCCGCAAGCCCUCUCUGGUCUCAUUUCAAGAAUGAGCAGUGGCAGUGGGAACGGGAACUUCUUUUCCGGGGACAUUCCUGUCUGAUGUCCAAGGAAAGCUCUCCACCCCUGGGAGCUUUAGGCCUUAUUGCCUGAGAUGGGGCAAAUUGAUUCAUUCAGCCCACAAAUAUUUACUGAGCACCUGCUCUACUCUGGGGGACAUACAAAAGCAAAGUGAAGUGACCAAAAAACCCUAUUGCAGUUGGUGUUUGAAUGGGCAAAAAUGAACCCAAAAUGUUCUAGUGUGUGUGUGCGCGUGUGUUUUUUAAAGAUUUCAUUUUUAAGUAACU